UUGGAUACCUGGUUCUCCUCCGGCCUCUUCCCUUUAUCCAUUUUGGGCUGGCCCAACCAGGUGUGUUCCUGGGGCCAGGGCUUGGCGGGACAGGGGACUGGAGGGUGGAUGUUGGCUCCCCUUCACACCCUGGUCUGCCCUCAGUCAGAAGACUUGAGUGUGUUCUACCCUGGGACACUGCUGGAGACCGGUCACGACAUCCUCUUCUUCUGGGUAGCCCGGAUGGUCAUGCUGGGCCUGAAGCUCACGGGCAGGCUGCCCUUUAGAGAGGUACGGAGACAGCUGAGACCCUCCCAUCACCCCCAGCCUCCUCUCCUGCCGUCCUGUGCUGCAGUGCAGGCCCUGUGUGGCUGGGGCAUGGGGUUAGCUGUGGGCAGGCCUGACCCGGGGCUGGUGUGGGGUUGAAAUCCAGCCUGGGCCCUGCUCAGUGAUUCCUGUGCCCAGGGCUUCAUCUUCCUAGAGAAAGGAGUGCUUCUGAUUCACAUAAAGGUGCUGAAUGAGCUCUUGGGGACACGCAGUGGGACCUGAGGUUCACAGUGGGGUAGACCAGACACAGUCCUGGUCGGGGCACUGAGGCCGGGGAAGGAGAGGACUGAGUCUCACGGGCCUCCCCACCUGCUCUGCAGGUCUACCUCCAUGCCAUCGUGCGAGAUGCUCACGGCCGGAAGAUGAGCAAGUCUCUAGGCAAUGUCAUCGAUCCCCUGGACGUCAUCUAUGGAAUCUCCCUGCAGGUGGGCUGGGUGCUGGGCCAGCCAGGAAGGGCCGUGGGGCUGUGGUCACAGCCACCUGACGGCUCCCACUCCACCCUCAGGGCCUCCACGACCAGCUGCUGAACAGCAACCUGGAUCCCAGCGAGGUGGAGAAGGCCAAAG
rnacentral:sRNA from 1 species